UUGACCUUUGGCCCAGCAUUCACUUAAAACUUUACUCAGCAUAUCUCUCAGCUCAUGAUGAUCAAAGCAUUUAAAUACAAUUGGUUUAAUUGUAGUGCAUUAUACCAACUUAUCCACCAAUUUGACACCAUUUUAAUGGCAAAAACAAUUGAGUUUAAAUACUAUUAUGGUUCAGCAUUACGAGGCUCACUGGUGAAUUCUGUUGGACAAAUGCUGUGUGGACAGAUGCAGCAGUUUCAUGAGGAGAUCUGCACCAGGGCCAUAACUGCUCUCUGGAUCAGAUUCAUCAUCAGCUAGACAUGACAGAUCAGUGCUGCAGCUCUCUGUAAAAGAAAAUCAGACACCUGGAGCAGCACAGCGUCCCCCCUCAGAUCCACAUGCACUCCCUCCAUUCUCACAUGGACUGGGAAUGUAGUUCUCCUCCAUGCAGCUUGCUGCUUCAGGAGAGCCCACAGAGCAGCCUAAACCUGCU